rnacentral:rRNA from 1 species
GUGAACGCUGGCGGUAGGCCUAACACAUGCAAGUCGAACGGCAGCACAGUAAGAGCUUGCUCUUACAGGUGGCGAGUGGCGGACGGGUGAGGAAUACAUCGGAAUCUACUUUUUCGUGGGGGAUAACGUAGGGAAACUUACGCUAAUACCGCAUACGACCUACGGGUGAAAGCAGGGGAUCUUCGGACCUUGCGCGAUUGAAUGAGCCGAUGUCGGAUUAGCUAGUUGGCGGGGUAAAGGCCCACCAAGGCGACGAUCCGUAGCUGGUCUGAGAGGAUGAUCAGCCACACUGGAACUGAGACACGGUCCAGACUCCUACGGGAGGCAGCAGUGGGGAAUAUUGGACAAUGGGCGCAAGCCUGAUCCAGCCAUACCGCGUGGGUGAAGAAGGCCUUCGGGUUGUAAAGCCCUUUUGUUGGGAAAGAAAAGCAGCAGGUUAAUACCCCGCUGUUCUGACGGUACCCAAAGAAUAAGCACCGGCUAACUUCGUG